AGAGCUGACUGCCAGUGGGGGAGGAUCUCUUCUGGAGAUCCACUCUGCUGGAGUUUUGUAAGCGAGCCCAGAAUACAGGUGUUGCAGCUCUGCUAUCAAAGACUGACACUUCUUCUGCAUGGCAAACUGCAGCUAUCCAAAACCUUUUGCUUCUGAUAUGUCUGAGUACACUCAAUGGUCAGUCUUGCAGAAUACAAAAAAACAUCUGUCUCUUCACAGCUUUCCUCUAGCAGAUGAUACAUGGAACCAACAGUCCACAAGACAGGCCUGUUUGUAUCCAAAAAUACAUCACAGCAAACAGGAAGAGAAAUUCCUUCAUGUCACAUCAGAAUCAUCUAUCAACCUAUCAUACGAGCAGACCAACAGCAAUCAGAAGGAAUUCAUGCAAGCUGUAUGCCCUUCUAUGACCAAGUGACUCACUGAGUGGAUGAGAGGAAGGCUGGUGAUGCAGUGUACCUAGACUUGACUGUCUCCCACUAUUUUCAUAUUCCUACACAGUCACAGUUUAUGAAAACUCUCCCCACUGCCCAACCACCCAAACUCAUUCCACAGCCCCAAUGUUUCCAGUAAUAAUGAAUAUUUCUUUGUAAAAUAUUCUCAAAUAUUAUGACCAUGAUAACAGACUUAGCUUGUUGGCCUAUUCA